rnacentral:rRNA from 1 species
AGUGAACGCUGGCGGUAGGCCUAACACAUGCAAGUCGAACGGCAGCACAGUAAGAGCUUGCUCUUACGGGUGGCGAGUGGCGGACGGGUGAGGAAUACAUCGGAAUCUACUUUUUCGUGGGGGAUAACGUAGGGAAACUUACGCUAAUACCGCAUACGACCUACGGGUGAAAGCAGGGGAUCUUCGGACCUUGCGCGAUUGAAUGAGCCGAUGUCGGAUUAGCUAGUUGGCGGGGUAAAGGCCCACCCAGGCGACGAUCCGUAGCUGGUCUGAGAGGAUGAUGAGCCACACUGGAACUGAGACACGGUCCAGACCCCUGGGGGAGGCAGCAGUGGGAAAUAUUGGAAAAGGGGCGCAAGCCUGACCCAGCCAUACCGCGUGGGUGAAGAAGGCCUGGGUGUUGUAAAGCCCUUUUGUGGGGAAAGAAAAGCAGCAGGUUAAUCCCCCGCUGUUCUGACGGUACCCAAAGAAUAAGCACCGGCUAACUUCG